rnacentral:rRNA from 1 species
GGGUUGUACACUUCUUUUAUAUUAGAAUAAAGUGCAGUAUGUAUACUGUUUUGUAUGUAUAAUAUGAAUAAGGAUCGGCUAACUCCGUGCCAGCAGCCGCGGUAAUACGGAGGAUCCGAGCGUUAUCCGGAUUUAUUGGGUUUAAAGGGAGCGUAGGUGGGCUGGUAAGUCAGUUGUGAAAGUUUGCGGCUCAACCGUAAAAUUGCAGUUGAUACUGUCAGUCUUGAGUACAGUAGAGGUGGGCGGAAUUCGUGGUGUAGCGGUGAAAUGCUUAGAUAUCACGAAGAACUCCGAUUGCGAAGGCAGCUCACUGGACUGCGACUGACACUGAUGCUCGAAAGUGUGGGUAUCAAACAGGAUUAGAUACCCUGGUAGUCCACACAGUAAA